rnacentral:rRNA from 1 species
GUACACACCGCCCGUCGCUGCUACCGAUUGGAUGAUCCGGUGAAAUCCUCGGACUGGAGUAGUUAUCUAGCAGCAAUGUUAGAUGYUAUUUUGGGAAGUUGAUUAAACCUUAUCAUCUAGAGGAAGCAAAAGUCGUAACAAGGUUUCCGUAGGUGAACCUGCAGAAGGAUCA